rnacentral:rRNA from 1 species
UAUAAUUUCUCUACUCCUGCGGGAGCUGUGUGUUUUUAAAUUUAGCAAAAUCAUUUUAUUAUUGGUAUAUUUGUAGAGUUAUUUUUUAUUUUUAUAGUGUUCGAAGGAGCUGUUUUCUUUUUUAAAAAAUCAGGUUACCCCUGUUACUUUUUGUAUCAUGGCUUAUAUAGGGCGUGGUUUUAUUAAUUAUCCUGAAACCUUUAGAGCUACCCCCUUAAUUAGCCUUAUUUUUGGGGCCCCUCGGUGCCGCAUAGAGGGGCCUGGGGCUCCCUGUGGUUGCAUAGGAGGUGUAGGUCAGUGCGGGCCUUUAGAAGGAGAAUAGGUUUGCACUUCUAGGUUCGACACAGGGUGCUGGGUUGUGUUGAAACACACCCCGAAAUAGGGGGGUAGGUGUGACAUGUAUGUCGAAUAGGGUGAUAGCUGGUUGAAAGGGAAAUAUAUAUAAGUGUAGAUCAGCGCUGGGUUUUAACCCUUUUUCGGUUUCCCGGUUUAGUGGAUUCCCGAUUGCGCUGAUUUCAGCCUUUUAGGGUUAAUCUUAAAAGGUGCGUGUUAGUGGGUUCAUAAAUAAAGUAUGGUUAGUAUUUCCUCUCUUUUCAAAUUUUUGUUCAAAUUGGUUUUAAAUUUCUUUCAUUCUCAGUACCUUUCUUUUAUUUUAAACUUUAAAGUGAAAAUUAGUAUAAGAUUAGUAGGCUAAAUAUGCGGGUUAAUAUAGCCGCAAUUUUGAUAGUUUUAAAUUCUUUUUGGUGUGUUUUCCUCCGAAAAUUGGAAAGGUGUUUAAAAGUUUUUUGUUCUUCUUAUGUGGGUGUAAGGAACUCGGCAAGUAUGGUCUCCGCCUGUUUAUUAAAAACAUGGCUUUUAGGUUUUAAAUAUUAAAAGUCGGGCCUGCCCGGUGGAUAUUCUUUAAACGGUUGCUAUUGAUGGUAGUACUAAGGUAGCGUAGUAAUUUGUCCCUUAAUUGGGGAACGGUAUGAAUGGUUUAACGCGAGACCAACUGUCUCACACUCAAAGGUCGAAGUUUUCGUUUAAGUGAAAAGACUUAGGUAUAUUUAAAAGACGAGAAGACCCUUUCGAGCUUACUGAAAUUAAAUUCCUUUCGUGUUUUUUUGAAUUUUUGUUGGGGCAAUAGAAAGGAAGUAUAACCCUUUUCUCUUCCGUAUAGAUCCCUUAUUAAGGAAUUUAGAAAAAGCUACCGUAGGGAUAACAGCGUUAUUUCUUUAGAGAGUACAUAUUAAAAAAGAAGCCUGCGACCUCGAUGUUGAAUUAGAGUGUAAUCUGGGCGCAGCAGCUCGGAUAGUAGGCCUGUUCGUCCUUUAAAACUUUACAUGAUUUGAGUUUAGACCGGCGUGAGCUAGGUCGGGUUCUAUCUUUAUUUUGAGUUUCCUAUGUACGAAAGGACCGGGGAGCUGGUAUUUUUUACCUAAUUGUGGUG